UUUAUUUGUUCAUACCUUGGCAGUAGACCAACUGCAAAGAAGAGGCCGGGUAGACAACCUGAUCCCAGGCCUCCGCUAAUGCUGCUUUGAAUUGGACACUGGUGUCCUGCAGAGGGAAACGUUGAUGCUUCUUUCAGUACGCUUGAGGCUU